UACGGGGGGGGCAAGCGUUGUUCGGAAUUACUGGGCGUAAAGGGCUCGUAGGCGGCCAACUAAGUCAGACGUGAAAUCCCUCGGCUUAACCGGGGAACUGCGUCUGAUACUGGAUGGCUUGAGGUUGGGAGAGGGAUGCGGAAUUCCAGGUGUAGCGGUGAAAUGCGUAGAUAUCAGGAGGAACACCGAUGGCGAAGGCAGGUCUCUGGGCCAUAACUGACGCUGAGAAGCGAAAGCAUGGGGAGCGAACAGG
rnacentral:rRNA from 1 species